rnacentral:rRNA from 1 species
AGACGGGUGAGGAACACGUACGCAACUUUCCUCAAACCGGGGCACAACCUUGAGAAAUCAGGGCUAAUUCCCCAUAACAUUGCGAGAGGGCAUCUGAUUGCAAUUAAAGAUUCGUCGGUUUGAGGUGGGCGUGCGUUCGAUUAGCUAGUUGGUAGGGUAACGGCUUACCAAGGCAACGAUCGAUAGCUGGUGUGAGAGCACGACCAGCCACACGGGCACUGAGAUACGGGCCCGACUCCUACGGGAGGCAGCAGUAAGGAAUAUUGGUCAAUGGACGAAAGUCUGAACCAGCCAUGCCGCGUGAGGGAUGAAGGUCCUCUGGAUUGUAAACCUCUUUUAUCUAUGAAGAAAUGUCCUGUUUCUACGGGAUUUGACGGUAAUAGAUGAAUAAGCACCGGCUAACUCCGUGCCAGCAGCCGCGGUAAUACGGAGGGUGCAAGCGUUAUCCGGAUUUACUGGGUUUAAAGGGUGCGUAGGUGGGUUGGUAAGUCAGUGAUGAAAUACUUUCGCUUAACGAAGGAACUGCCAUUGAUACUACC